UUGCAGCAUAUCAAAAAGCGGAGGAAAAGAAACCAACAGGGAUUGCCCUAGUAACGGCGAGUGAACAGGCAAGAGCUCAGAUUUGAAAGGCACUUUUGUGCCGUUGUAUUCUGAAGUUAGGGUCCUGAGAAACGAUGCUUAAGUCUUCUGGAAAGGAGCGCCAUGGAGGGUGAUAGCCCCGUCUAGCAUUGACCUCAUAUAGGAUCUUAACAUGGAGUCGAGUUGUUUGGGAAUGCAGCUCAAAUGGGUGGUAUGCUCCAUCUAAAGCUAAAUAUCUGCGAGAGACCGAUAGUAAACAAGUACUGUGAGGGAAAGAUGAAAAGAACUUUGAAAAGAGAGUGAAAAAGUACGUGAAAUUGUUGAAAUGGAAGGGUAGGCCGCUAACCAUGUAGAGCCGUGUUUGGGGGGAAGAUAAAUGCUGUAGAAUGUAGCUCCUCGGAGUAUUAUAGAUGCAGUUCAUAUUCCCACCCGAGCGCGAGGAUCUCAGUCACUAAAAAGCCGGG
rnacentral:rRNA from 1 species